ACAGAUGGCCGGAGAGGUGAUGCGUUUUCGCAGAGGAAAGUCCGGGCUCUUUAUAGGCACGGUGCCGGAUAACGUCCGGCGAGGGUAACCUUAGGGAAAGUGCAACAGAAAGCAAACCGCCUGGCAACAGGUAAGGGUGAAAGGGUGCGGUAAGAGCGCACCGCGCCUUUGGUAACAAAGGUGGCAUGGUAAACCCCACCGAGAGCAAGACCAAAUAGGAAUGGCAUAUAACCUGUCUAUAGGUUGUCAUUCGGGUCGGUCGCACGAGGCGUAAGGUAACUUACGUCCCAGAUGAAUACCUCUCCCCUCCUUGGAGGGACAGAACCCGGCUUACAGGCCAUCUGUUUUA
rnacentral:RNase_P_RNA from 1 species